AUCGAACUGAUGAGUCCCAAAUAGGACGAAACGUGCAUCCUGGAU
rfam:Schistosoma haematobium scaffold214_10, whole genome shotgun sequence.